CCUACGGGAGGCAGCAGUGGGGAAUAUUGGGCAAUGGGCGCAAGCCUGACCCAGCAACGCCGCGUGAAGGAAGAAGGCUUUCGGGUUGUAAACUUCUUUUAAGGGGGACGAGCAGAAGACGGUACCCCUUGAAUAAGCCACGGCUAACUACGUGCCAGCAGCCGCGGUAAUACGUAGGUGGCAAGCGUUGUCCGGAUUUACUGGGUGUAAAGGGCGUGCAGCCGGAGAGACAAGUCAGAUGUGAAAUCCACGGGCUCAACCCGUGAACUGCAUUUGACACUGUUUCCCUUGAGUGUCGGAGAGGUAAUCGGAAUUCCUUGUGUAGCGGUGAAAUGCGUAGAUAUAAGGAAGAACACCAGUGGCGAAGGCGGAUUACUGGACGAUAACUGACGGUGAGGCGCGAAAGCGUGGGGAGCAAACAGGAUUAGAUACCCGGGGAGUC
rnacentral:rRNA from 1 species